rnacentral:ncRNA from 2 species
AUAAAUAAAGGCUUUAAUGGUGCCUUUUUUGGUUAAAAGGGAAACAGGUUAAAUUCCUGUACUAUACCCGUAACUGUAAUAAGGGAGUGAGAAAUCAUUAUGCCACUGGCUCUGCUGGUAAGGCGAUUUCAAGCGAAGAUCUUUAAGUCAGGAAACCUGCCAUUAUGUCGUUCGUUCA